rnacentral:rRNA from 1 species
GAUGAACGCUAGCGGCAGGCUUAAUACAUGCAAGUCGAGGGGUAGCAAGAUUGUAGCAAUACAAUUGUUGACGACCGGCAAACGGGUGCGUAACACGUAUGCAACCUACCUUUUACAGGGGAAUAGCCUCUCGAAAGAGAGAUUAAUACCCCAUAAUAUAUUUGAUUGGCAUCAAUUGGAUAUUAAAGCUGAGGCGGUAAAAGAUGGGCAUGCGGCUGAUUAGGUAGUUGGUGAGGUAAUGGCUCACCAAGCCGACGAUCAGUAGGGGGUCUGAGAGGAUGUCCCCCCACACUGGUACUGAGACACGGACCCGACUCCUACGGGAGGCAGCAGUAAGGAAUAUUGGUCAAUGGACGCAAGUCUGAACCAGCCAUGCCGCGUGAAGGAUUAAGGUCCUCUGGAUUGUAAACUUCUUUUAUCUGGGACGAAAAAAGGCGAUUCUUCGUCACUUGACGGUACCAGAUGAAUAAGCACCGGCUAACUCCGUGCCAGCAGCCGCCGUAACAC